rnacentral:rRNA from 1 species
UGGGGAAUAUUGGGCAAUGGGCGAAAGCCUGACCCAGCGACGCCGCGUGGGUGAUGAAGGCCUUCGGGUUGUAAAACCCUUUCGUGCGGAAAGAAUAGUCCUGUAGUGAAUAACUACGGGAUUUGACGGUACCGCAGGAAGAAGCACCGGCUAACUCCGUGCCAGCAGCCGCGGUAAUACGGAGGGUGCAAGCGUUGUUCGGAAUUAUUGGGCGUAAAGGGCGCGUAGGUGGUUGUGAUAGUCAGAUGUGAAAUCCUUCGGCUCAACCGAAGAACUGCAUCUGAAACUUCAUAGCUCGAGUACAGGAGAGGGAAGCGGAAUUCCCGGUGUAGAGGUGAAAUUCGUAGAUAUCGGGAGGAACACCAGUGGCGAAGGCGGUUUCCUAGCCUGAUACUAACGCUGAGGCGCGAAAGCGUGGGGAGCAAACAG